rnacentral:rRNA from 1 species
UACGUAGGGUGCGAGCGUUGCCCGGAUUUAUUGGGCGUAAAGGGCGCGUAGGCGGCCACGCACGUCCGUUGUGAAAGCCCCCGGCUCAACUGGGGAGGGUCACGCGAUACUGUUCGACUCGAAGGCAGGAGAGGGAAGCAGAAUUCCCGGUGUAGUGGUGAAAUGCGUAGAUAUCGGGAGGAAUACCAGUGGCGAAGGCGGCUUCCUGGCCUGUUCUUGACGCUGAGGCGCGAAAGCUAGGGUAGCAAACGGG